CCUACGGGUGGCAGCAGUGAGGAAUAUUGGUCAAUGGGCGGGAGCCUGAACCAGCCAAGUCGCGUGAGGGAAGACGGUCCUGCGUGUUGUAAACCUCUUUUGCCAGGGGACAAAGGCGGCCACGCGUGCCCCCCCGAGGGUACCUGGAGAAAAAGCAUCGGCUAACUCCGUGCCAGCAGCCGCGGUAAUACGGAGGAUGCGAGCGUUAUCCGGAUUUAUUGGGUUUAAAGGGUGCGCAGGCGGCGGGGCAAGUCAGCGGUAAAAUGUCGGGGCUCAACCCCGGCCGGCCGUUGAAACUGGCGUGCUAGAGUGGGCGAGAAGUAUGCGGAAUGCGUGGUGUAGCGGUGAAAUGCAUAGAUAUCACGAAGAACCCCGAUUGCGAAGGCAGCAUACCGGCUCCAAACUGACGCUGAGGCACGAAAGCGUGGGUAUCGAACAGGAUUAGAUACCCCUGUAGUC
rnacentral:rRNA from 1 species